UUACACAAACCUAGAUGGUAGAGCCUAUCACACACGAAGGCUAUAUGGUACUAAUCUUAUGGGACCGCCGUCAUACAUGUGGUCCAUCGUUGGCUGAAAUGGCCUUAUGUGGAGCAUGACUGUAUCUAUUUACAUUUUUUAAAGUUUUUUCUA